rnacentral:rRNA from 1 species
AACGAACGCUGGCGGCAGGCCUAACACAUGCAAGUCGAACGCGUGUAGCAAUACACGAGUGGCGCACGGGUGAGUAACACGUGGAAAUCAACCCAGAGGUUCGGAAUAACCGCGGGAAACUGCGGCUAAUACCGGAUAUCCCCUACGGGGGAAAGAUUUAUCGCCUUUGGACGAGCCCGCGUCCGAUUAGCUAGUUGGUGAGGUAACGGCUCACCAAGGCUACGAUCGGUAGCUGGUCUGAGAGGAUGACCAGCCACACUGGAACUGAGAUACGGUCCAGACUCCUACGGGAGGCAGCAGUGGGGAAUAUUGGGCAAUGGAGGCAACUCUGACCCAGCCAUGCCGCGUGGGUGACGAAGGUCUUCGGAUUGUAAAGCCCUUUCGGCGGGGACGAUGAUGACGGUACCCGCAGAAGAAGCCCCGGCUAACUUCGUGCCAGCAGCCGCGGUAAGAC